rnacentral:rRNA from 1 species
GGAAUACCGGUGGCGAAGGCGGCCCCCUGGACAAAGACUGACGCUCAGGUGCGAAAGCGUGGGGAGCAAACAGGAUUAGAUACCCUGGUAGUCCACGCCGUAAACGAUGUCGAUUUGGAGGUUGUGCCCUUGAGGCGUGGCUUCCGGAGCUAACGCGUUAAAUCGACCGCCUGGGGAGUACGGCCGCAAGGUUAAAACUCAAAUGAAUUGACGGGGGCCCGCACAAGCGGUGGAGCAUGUGGUUUAAUUCGAUGCAACGCGAAGAACCUUACCUGGUCUUGACAUCCACAGAACUUUCCAGAGAUGGAUUGGUGCCUUCGGGAACUGUGAGACAGGUGCUGCAUGGCUGUCGUCAGCUCGUGUUGUGAAAUGUUGGGUUAAGUCCCGCAACGAGCGCAACCCUUAUCCUUUGUUGCCAGCGGUUAGGCCGGGAACUCAAAGGAGACUGCCAGUGAUAAACUGGAGGAAGGUGGGGAUGACGUCAAGUCAUCAUGGCCCUUACGACCAGGGCUACACACGUGCUACAAUGGCAUAUACAAAGAGAAGCGACCUCGCGAGAGCAAGCGGACCUCAUAAAGUAUGUCGUAGUCCGGAUUGGAGUCUGCAACUCGACUCCAUGAAGUCGGAAUCGCUAGUAAUCGUAGAUCAGAAUGCUACGGUGAAUACGUUCCCGGGCCUUGUACACACCGCCCGUCACACCAUGGGAGUGGGUUGCAAAAGAAGUAGGUAGCUUAACCUUCGGGAGGGCGCUUACCACUUUGUGAUUCAUGACUGGGGUGAAGUCGUAACAAGGUAACCGUAGGGGAACCUGCGGUUGGAUCACCUCCUU